CAAAUAACUGCCACCCAGAUUGAUCA
rnacentral:piRNA from 1 species